rnacentral:rRNA from 1 species
AUUGAACGCUUGCGGCAGUCCUAACACAUGCACGUCGACAGAGUGGCGGAAGUUUGAGUCAUUUCUGGGAAACUGCCCGAUGGAGGUGGAUAACUCCUGGAAACGGUAGCUACUACCGCCUACCAUCCGAUUUGCCCAUAGUGGAUUAGCUAUUAGGGGGGGUAACGUCUCACCUAGGCGACGAUCCCUAGCUGGUCGUAGAGGAUGAACAGCCACACUGGAAAUGAGACACGGUCCAGACUCGUACGGGAGGCAGCAGUGGGGAAUAUGGCACAAUGGGCGCAAGCCGGAUGCAGCCAGGCCGCGUGUAUGAAGAAGGCCUUCGGGUUGUAAAGUACUUUCAGCGAGGAGGCGUUACUCGCAGAAGAAGCACCGGCUAACUCCGUGCCAGCAGCCGCGGUAAUUC